rnacentral:rRNA from 1 species
GUAGUCCACGCUGUAAACGAUGAGUGCUAGGUGUUAAGGGGUUUCCGCCCCUUAGUGCUGUAAGUUAACGCGUUAAGCACUCCGCCUGGGGAGUACGGCCGCAAGGCUGAAACUCAAAAGAAUUGACGGGGGCCCGCACAAGCGGUGGAGCAUGUGGUUUAAUUCGAAGCUACGCGAAGAACCUUACCAGGUCUUGACAUCCUCUGAACAGGUUAGAGAUAACCCUUUCCCUUCGGGGACAGAGUGACAGGUGGUGCAUGGUUGUCGUCAGCUCGUGUCGUGAGAUGUUGGGUUAAGUCCCGUAACGAGCGCAACCCUUAAUAUUAGUUGCCAGCAUUAAGUUGGGCACUCUAAUGUGACUGCCGGUGACAAACCGGA